rnacentral:lncRNA from 1 species
AAUAGAAAGUUCGGUAUUUCGAACACAGAUUCGGGUAAAAAUCCAUCAUCUUAUUCUCUGUUAUGGAAUUAAAGCUUAAUAAUCAGUAAUAUGGUAUUUUGUAUAAUUUAAAAAACUUUGAGAAUAAUUACAGGUUACCAAUGGAGUCGAAAAUUGGUUAGUCAUUUAUUUUUUUUCCUGUUUAAUUGAUUGUUGAAUUUACAGUUUUAAAUACAUGAUGAUA